rnacentral:misc_RNA from 1 species
GAUGAAGAACGUAGCGAAAUGCGAUACGUAAUGUGAAUUGCAGAAUUCAGUGAAUCAUCGAAUCUUUGAACGCAUAUUGCGCUCUCUGGUAUUCCGGAGAGCAUGCUUGUUUGAGUAUCAGUAAACACCUCAACUUCCAUAUCUUUUUUGAAAUGGGAGUUGGACUUGAGUGAUCCCGACGCUUUUCCUCACCGAAAAGUGGCGGGUUACUUGAAAUGCAGGUGCAGCUGGACUUUUCUCUGAGCUAUAAGCAUAUCUAUUUAGUCUGCCUAAAAAACAGAUUAUUACCUUUGCUGCAGCUAACAUAAAGGAGAUUAGUUCUUGUGCUGACUGAUGCAGGAUUCACAAAGACAGGCUUCGGCCGACUUUGUAAACUCGAUCUCAAAUCAAGUAAGACUACCCGCUGAACUUAAGCAUAUCAAUAAGCGGAGGA